rnacentral:misc_RNA from 1 species
UCCGGCUUAUCACCGGCGGUUUCUUUAGAGUGCCCAACUAAAUGAUGGCAACUAAAGACGAGGGUUGCGCUCGUUGCGGGACUUAACCCAACAUCUCACGACACGAGCUGACAACAGCCAUGCAGCACCUGUGCUAGCUCCCCGAAGGGUCCCUCACCUUUCGGAUCAGUACCACUAGCAUUUCAAGCCCUGGUAAGGUUCUUCGCGUUGCGACGAAUUAAACCGCACGCUCCGCUGCUUGUGCGGGCCCCCGUCAAUUCCUUUGAGUUUUAGCCUUGCGGCCGUACUCCCCAGGCGGGACACUUACUGCGUUAGCUUCGGCACGGAGGGGGUCGAUACCCCCCACACCUAGUGUCCAUAGUUUACAGCGUGGACUAC